rnacentral:tRNA from 1 species
CCUGGUGGCUCAGUGGUAAAGAGUCUGCCUGCAAUGCAGGAGACCCAGGUUCGAUCCCUGGGUCAGGA